rnacentral:lncRNA from 1 species
CCUAGCGGAACACAGGGCAAGCCCCGGCAGCUUGUCUCCUCUAAGGGCCGUGGCCGCCCGCGUGACCCCGGGCGACCACGCAGAGGUCAAGGUUGGACGCAGUCGAGGGAGCUGCGCAUGCGCGCGCAGCAGCGCUGAGAAGGGGCCGGGCUACGUGGGUGACUGACGUCUGGGCGGUAGAGAACCAGAGGCGGGCGUGUAGGCCCUCUGCCUCUGACUGUGUGGGUUGGGCCGCUCUGGGCCCGCCUCACGUCAGAGGCCCUGGCGAGCGGGUGGGCCGGAGGACUUCCGGUCAGAGCGCCCGUGGCUUGGGUGGCGGCCACUGGGGCUUGCAGGAGCGUCUCUCUUGAGUUGGGCGUAGGGGGAGACGCGCGUGCGUGACCGCCGCCAGCCCCGGCCCAGCCGUGCGCACGCGCGGUCUGUUCCCUUGGGCGUGCGGCUCGGUCGCUGGCGGUGGGUGUCCCUGGCAGGCGGCAGCGGAGCAGCGAGGCKGGGACAGGCCGUCGCACCUGAGGCCCACGCUGUGUUCAGUGGCCCGCCAGGCGCAGGGAGCGUGCAGACGCCUUGCUCUGGGCAGAGUCGCCACCUGGUGGUGACCCGCCAGCGCCCCGCGGUUCUCAUCUGUAAAUGCUAGGUGUUUAAUUAGGAGACAGCGAAACCUCCGUCUGGUGGUUAAAGUAUAGAAAAGUAGUCACGUGUGUCCUCGAACGAACGUCACUGUAGGAGCAGACAAGAAUAGUACUAGUUCCCUUGGCAUAUAAACGCUUAUAGAGUGCUCCAGAGCAAAAGGCUGGGCACCUACACAGAAACUCCAAUUUAGUAUGCAGAAGGAAAGAGGGAGAACAAGCCAGAUCAGGAGGCAAAAAUGCUUCAACAGGUGUGGCCUUAGGGGGGCCAUACCUGUUGUGUGCAAAUCAGCAAAGUUCUGAAGGACCUGUAUCUUUAGGAAAACCAGGAGCCUCACCAACUUCAGCUGUGGCCAUGGAGGAUAACAAGGAACCAAAGAGCUUCUCGUGGUGCAGAACUGGAGGUGAGUCAGGAAGCCUGCCUCAM